ACUAAAGAAAUUUCAAGUAGUUUCACUCUUAUAAAGAGUCAGUUAGCAAGUCAUCAGCUUCAUUGGGUUAAAACUGGAGGAAUGGUGAGCAGAAAAACUAAAAAAGAAAAAAAAAAAAAAAAAAAGUCCUAAAAAAGUAACCAUUACCCGAGGAAGAAAGAUUGGAUUCCAGCUUCCCCCUCCUUCUCCCUCCCCCUCUUCCUUCCUCUUUUCUUUCCUUCCUUCCUCCAUCCCUUCCCUUCCUUUCCUGCUUAUAUAUCUUCAAAUGUGCAAUUUUUUUUUCAGUAAAAGAACACCCCAUGAGCAACCCAGGACUAUACUCCCAUCUUUCCAUGUCCUUCCUCCCUAUUUUCCCCCAUACUCCAAGGAGCCGCUUUCCUGUAACACCAAGAGAAAAGGAGGUUUCUUGGAAAUGCAUCUCAUCACAAGAGUCCAUGCAGGCUCUGACUGCCUCCAGACUUGUGACUUUCACUGCGUUGGGGAGUGAAGCCCCUUGUCUCUGGAAGCCAAGACUUUCCAGCAAACAACAGUGUGCCAGACUCUCCGAGGAUGUAAACCAACCCAAAAGCGCCCAGCUAUUUCAGCACAGCAUAAGCAACCG
ensembl:lncRNA